AUGAAUAUAGAGUGGAUGUAUAAUGUACCACCACUCUGGUGGAUUAAUCUUCCCAUCAUUGGUUGAUCUUGCUGGAGAACACUCUAAGGGAUAAAAACUGCAGAAUACUAUACCACAAGUGCUACAGGCUGAUCACAAGAAGCAGAGUUGAGAAUAAUGGAUGAUGAUGAAUGGGAAGAACUUGAUGAAAGUGCAGUGGAGGAGUGCAUGGUUCUUGCCACGCAGAUGUGUUCUCGACUUUCUCAGAAUGAAAAUAUUUUGGAUCACAAGAAAAGCCCAAAUCCUGAAACAGCUGGGAAAGAUUAUUCCAAAAGUAUUACCACCAGAAAUUACCACAAUAAUCCAACAAAUACUUUUGAUGACAGUGGGUUUUCAAGCAUAAAAUGCAACAGUAAAAAUACUGCAAGCCUCUUGUCUAGCAAAAUAAAAAAUGCAGGAACAUUCGCGAAUAAACCAGGUACUCCAACAAAUAACAGCUAUAGUAGCAGGUUCAAUGACUUCAUCAUUCCAUGUAAUACUUCACAAAAAGCUAUCUCAGGAGCUGGAAGAUUACUUCAUGUUUCAGGCAAGGUAUAUAAUUCUAUCCCUAUGAAAGGAACUGGAGGAACUUUUAGCAGUACAAAAGGCUCUUGUCAGACUACCUGUCCUUCAGGGAGAUUGGAGGGGGAGGAGAAUCAACAGCAAUUACUGAAGAGGACAAAAUUGGAAAAAGACAAGGUUGAGGAAGAUCUCAUCUUAAAGCAAGGAGAGAUAGCUUUGUUACGGUCAGAACUGAAGAGAAAAGAGGCAAUUUUGGAAGCUGAGAGGCUAGAUCAUUGUACCGCAAUAAAGGCUGCAGAAAACAGAGGCAAGGAAAAGGUUAUGAAGUUUGCUACUGAAGCAGAAGCUAAAUCUAAAGAGAGUAUGAAAAUGGUGGAUAAGUUACAAGCGCAGCUUCUGUUUAAGAAUAGAGAGGCGGAGGAACUUUUAAGUCAAUGUCGCCAGUUAGAGCAGCAGACAAAGCAGCAUGUUUCACCUCACUCCCAUAGAAGCCCCCUCAAAAGAAAGCGUAUUGGAAGUGCCUCACCUCGGGUUUCCCCAGGAAAGAUGCACUCAAACUUUGCAUCGAGGUUUGACUUUGGUGGAGGCCGAACCAGUGUCUGCAGUGUUGAAGUACAAACUGAAUCCUCUUAUUGUAAAACUAAAGUGCAAAGAAGACUUACUGUUGUUUUACCCAGAGGUGAAGUAUCUGGCAGCAGACGAACUGCUUACCUUCUCUCAGCUGGUGCCUCGACUUUAUCAUUCGAAAAACAACCAACCACUAGCCUCUGUGGUACCACAAAUUGGAGCUUGCCCGGUGAAUGGUCAUAUUUGGCCUCACAGGCUACUGAGGAUAGUGUUAAUGUGGAGAACAAGCUGAUGACACUGGCUUUGGAAAGACUUCAGGAGGUGCAUUCACUCAUCACAUCAAAAUUGAAUGACAGUAACAGAUCACCAGUGAGCAACCCAGCCUCCCCAGUGGAUUGGUAUGAAAGUCAAGUUGGCCCGGCCCUUCAUGUGUUACAGUCAUUUAUGUCUCCACAUAAUUUGACUUUUGAACACAAAGCCCUUCAGAUCAUUAUAACCCAUCUUUCACCUCUGUGUAUUAAGGAAAUUGUUGUGAACAACAGAAUUCAUCAUAUGAUCUUAGAAACACUGAAGAAAGUAGCAAGAAUUUUAUCACCACCUGCAGAUAAAGUGGUAUGUGAGCAAAUAAUGGUAGCACUGAAAGAUUGUUGUGCCAGUAUUGACUCAAGCAAUGAUAUACUACACGUGUUGGAAGCUUUGGUGGAGUUGUCUCCCCAUUCCUCACUCACCAAUAUUGUGUGCUCCACCUCAGGUUCAUGUUUAGUUGGCAAUUUAUGUAGCUGUAUUGACAAGAUUUAUGAUUGUGGCCUUACCAUACCCACUGUGUUACUGAGCUGGAUAAUGAUAUUGGUGAAGAAGGCACCAUCCUGGCUACAGUCAACGUGUUGCUGCUCAGCCAAGCUUUUAACCACACUCCUUAAGCAAGUCCAUCAAGCAUUGGAUUUUUCUGAGCCUGAGAGAGGUACAGAAAUAAAAAAAAGGAAGUGUACAAGCUGCUGCUGUCCUCUGUCCGGGUGUUACACAAUUGGUCCAUGGUCGACCCCAACUGGUGGGAAAAAGUGGCUCAACUGCCUCAUUAUACUUCUUUAAUGAAUUUUAUCAUUGCCAAUGCCAAGGACAUUCAGCCUGACAGACAAACAGUUGAUCUUCUGUGUACCUUAUAUGAAGUUGAAGAUGGAACUUUUGAAAGCUGCUAACAUAAAGAUAGAAAGUAAGCGACUGUGACAUGGUUCUUUUGCCUUUGAUCAUAUUCCAUUUGAAGUGUCUCUGCUAUGUCGUCACAUAUAUACAUUUCACUCUCUCUGGCUGUUUUACCUUACUGAUACAGUACAUGAAAUACAGUAUACUGUAUCACCCUUCCCAAGACCAGUCUCAACAUAAUCUCCAACUCAUCUGUAAUCAACUCUGUCCAUAUUGUAUUCGUGCCAUACACUAUAACUCAUCUGCUCAACAUGUACCAAACAUUCACCCAACACACAUAGUUUUUCAACAAAGAUUCCACAGUACCUGUAGAUUUCUGGGAGCAAGUGGUGGUUUUAAACAAAUACUGUACCUAAGUUCCGGAAGCUUUGGAAUCAUGUGACAUACUAUAAAGUGUACAACAUAACAUAAAAGAAAUAAUAGCCUCCUGAUAGAGUAAUACUACAGGUACUGCAUUUUGUUCUCAUAUACAACUUCAGAAAAAAUGGACAAUCUGGUGCUUGAUAUCCUGGCUGCAAGUAGUCCAGUAGGUGACCAACAUUGUUUACAUUGGAUACUGCUAACUGGAAAAUUGUACUGUAUUUUACAGCAGGCUAAUGAAUCUCCCAGAUACUGUAUCCAGUAGGCUAAAUUUACCUAACCCAAUUCCUGAAUAAUAAUGUUAUUGUUUACUUAAACAUACUAUUAUUAUUAUAUUAUUAUUACUUUUAAGUAAUUCAAAAGGGAGUUAUUGAAAAAUAUUAAAGACAGUUAGCCUCUGUAUGGCAGGCACCCAAUUCUUCAGAGCUAAUCAGUAAUGGUUUUUUUAACUCUUAUAAGUGUUACUACCUGUAUCUAUUAAUGUCAUACCUGCCAGCAUCCUGGUCACUGAUGCUGGCAUAAAGUACCAACCUACCAAUUAAGUUUCAUCCUAGGUAAUCUACCUGAUUUAGAUUUAUUCAUACACAUCUCUUCGGUAGGGAUAAGUGUUAUAACCAUCAUUUUAGUUUAAAAAGUCUCUUUUCCAUAGCUGGUCUGUAAUACUGUAAAUAUGAUAUAUAUAAUGUGUUUGAGUAUAGUAUAUGUACAUUAAAAUUAACUUGCCUGUAGGGAACUGCAACUUAAUAUUUAUCUUACAGUUUUCAUUGUUACUGCAGCAAGUUUGUGCCUUUGUAAAAGUGAACAACAGAUUUUGUUUUCAGCCACUCAGUUGGUGUAGGUAAGUGAGAACCACCAUGUUUAUACUGUACUGUAUAUAAAUCAAAUAUUAAGAGGAAUAAGGAGAAUGUUAGUAAAUAAAUCUAGCAUUAAGGUGAAUAUAAGUAGGAAUUUGUAUCUACAAUACUCAGAUCAAACAGGAGGCAUUUUUCAUAUGUCGUUCUAAUAACUUUAGAUGUAGUGUGGCAGGGAGGCUCAAUGAUGCUAUUACAUAUUUUACACCAAUGAUAUACCCUUUUAAUUUAUUGAUAGUUGUAUUGCUUUGUAAAAAUUAUUAAUUACUCUGGAAAUUUGAUAGUUUUCAAAUUAUGUGCUAUAAUUUUUGUAAAAUAUAUGUAUUUAGCAGUUAUGGCUCUUAUGUCUCAGGAUUGUAUUGAAAUUUUGGUCUAUUUUAUCAAGAUGGCAUAUGAACUGUAUCAUGAAAAAAACAGCUUCAUAUUUAUGGGAGGGAAUAGCAGAAUUAUAUGAAGAGUAAAUACUUUAUCAUGUUUUACCUGACAAAAUGUACUUAGUGAGAAAUUAAAUGCAUACAUUGACUUGAUCAGACUAUAGUGUCAUUUAAUGUUUCACUUUAUAGAGAAAUCCAUCAUUACAAUAGAUUGUUUUGAGAGUAAGUACAGUACAGUUUUCCAAAAACUAGUAUUAAUUUUUUGCUAAGGUGUAAUAGGAAAUGCUACUUGUCACAAACAAACAGAAAAUUUUACAAAUUCAUUGUGCCAUAGUUCUGUAAAAUUCAGUUGUAAAUCACUGAUAUUUAAGCUCGUCCGAAGAGUUUGUUGACAGAUUGCUGUUUAUAAAAUUUAUAUCAAAUCCAAUCAGUCAGUGCAGAAAAAAUGUUUUACCGAUAAAAAGACAAGAAAGCACUUGUCUUUCUGUCAGUAAAACUAGUACAGGGUAUAUCCACUCUACCACUGCAAGAGGAUACAGGCAUUCCGCAGGUUUCAGAAAGGUUCCGUCCAGGAAAAUCUUUCCGAAAUGCAAAACCAUUUUCCCAUAUACAGUACAGUAAAACCUCGCUAAAGCAGACUAAUUGGGGGGAAGGGGUGUCCGGGAUAAGAGAUUUGAUAUUGAUAUUGUAACAGUUUAUUUAGCCAGAAUAACAGAUACAGAGUCGAUUAAUAAAAUCAUAAUACACAGUGGUUCCUCGGUUAACGAACAGUUCGAUUAACGAAAUUUCGGUUGACGAAUUAGCUUCCAUAAGGAAUUUCGGUUCGAUAAACGAACAAAACUUCGAUUAACGAAAUCGUUACGACAAACACGUUUUGUUUUGCACAUCAGCUGAUUGGCUAGUCCGCCAAUACAGUAAUUGAUUCUAUGUUUACAUUUGU